GUCAUAAUGGCAACGUCCACACAACGUCAAAUUAAAACAUCAUUUGAUGUUGAUCUGUAGUUAGUUUUAGGUUGUGGCAUUAACUAACCAAAAUCCAACGUCGAGCCAACGUCUCAAGCCAACGUCACAUUGACAUCAAAAACUGAUACUUAGUCGUCAGGUAUGGCAACCAAAAUCCAAUGUAUUCAAGACGUCAUAAUGGUAACGUCCAAUCAACGUCAAAUUAUAACGUCAUUUGACUUUGAUCUUUAGUUAGUUUUAGGUUGUGGCAUUAACUAACCAAAAUCCAACGUCGAGCCAACGUCUCAAGCCAACGUCACACUGACAUCAAAUACUGAUGUUUUGUCGUCAGGUAUGGCAACCAAAAUCCAACAUCUUGUAGACGUCAUUAUGGUAACGUCCGAUCAACGUCAAGUUAUAACAUCAUUUGAUGUUGAUCUGUAGUUAGUUUUAGGUUGUGGCAUUAACUAACCAAAAUCCAACAUCAAGACAACGUCUCAAGCGAACGUCAGAUUGACAUCAAAUACUG
ensembl:lncRNA